rnacentral:lncRNA from 1 species
AAACAGGUUACCUGAGUAGGUUUUGGCAGCCUGUGUAUUUGUCACAUCGAAGGCUCGUUAUUUACUAAAGUAUCUGUAUGAACAUGAUCUAGUUUGCACUUGUGAGUGGUGUUGGUAGAGGGGACAUAUACGAAGAUUUAAUUGUUGGUAAUUAUAGUGAGAACAGAGGGGACUUGAAAUUGCUGAACUGUCUCAUGCCUGGAGGACUCUGGAAACAUUGUGUGGCAUGCAGAUACCGAGAUUGCACGUGUGGAUCUGAGGGUUACAGCUUUCUCCCGACUGUGAAGUCCCUAUUCUUCCUUGCAAUAAUCCUUUUGCAUAAGUGUCUUGUGUUACCAAAUAACAGUGGUCAUCAGAGAAAAUACAGAUAUUAGAAACAAACUAUGGUACAUACUCUUUGAAUAUGAUUGAUGAGCCGGGGAAGCCUCUUGCUAGCAGCUCUUGCUUCUGCUCACUACAUACAUAAGGCAGGCAGAGGACUCUACCUCAGAGACAGGGUUUUGAACUGGAGCUGGGAAGUGAGGCAAAAGACCAAGCCACAGCUUGGGUCCUGGUUUGAGCCUUUGGCCACAAGAGCCUGAGACCUUUGGUGAUGAGGGCACACUUCCUGAGCCUCAGUGGCUGAUCCAUGGAAUCUGUUCAAGAUAUCUUUGCUGAAAGAAAAACUGCAUGGAGCCUCUUUCCCUGCCAUGGAUCAUCAGGCACAUGGGUUCUUCCCUUAUUUGUCCAUUGCACUUCUGGGUAGAUUUGUCCUCCUAGGAGCUACUCAUCUACUCUCCAGCGUGACUUCUGGGUUCUGCAGGACAUGACAUUUAUCCCCUCCAGAAAAUGCAACAAGGUGCAUCUUGGAAGCAGAGUGCAGCACUCACCGGACAGGAAAUCUGCUGAUGCCUUCAUCUUGGACUUCCCAGUCUCCAGAACUAUAAAGAAUGCAUUUCUUUUCUUAUAAAUUACCCAGUCUAUGAUAUUCCAUUAUAGUAGCACAAACGGACUAGGACAACACAUAAAUAACUCAAGCCAAUUUCUCACUUACAUUUGUUAAAAUAGUAAUGUACAAAUCCCGGAAACAGUCAACAACAAAAUCCCAUUUCACAACUCCCUCAUCCCUAAUACACAAUUUCUAACCUAUUCUGAAAUUGAGAAGUCUUAUACUUUGCAAAUGGCAUGGCAACUUUAUGUCCAUUUAAAAUUGUCUAAAUAUUUAGUACAUUUCUAGAGUCUAGAGCACACAGCUCAGGGCCCUGGUAACAUGCAGGCAAUCAGACUAUAAAUUUAUUUCUCUUCUUGAACAUCCUGCCCUGUUCAUCUUCAGUAAUCAAAUGGGCUUCAAUUUGUUCUUUACUAUGCUUUCACCUCUUCAUGCUCACUUCCAAGUCAACUCUACUCCUUCUCUAUUUUGCCCAAUACACUUUCUAGUUACAUAAUCAGAUGACUCUAGAAAAGCUGCCCAAGGCUGACCAUUCUCUAUGUGAAUUUUCCAACUACAUUGAAAGACCAAACUCAGUAUCCCCAACAUUGUCCUAACUUAAAGGUAUACUUGUAGUGGCACCAUAUAAACCAGGCAAACUAUUUAAAAAUGUAUCUGGAAGUAUUUGGCAUUUCCUGGUUAUAAUUUAAAGGAUGUAAUUUUGGCAUAGGAUUUCUGAAUAAUUGUUAUUAGACAGAGUUAUUUGUAUUUUCCACUACCAUUUUUAGAAAGGGAAUUUCACUUUGGAUAGCGGGUUAGUGUGUGUGUGUGUAUGUGCCCAUGUGCAGGUGAGGAGGGAACAAACUACUUGAUUCUUCCAUAAGUUAUUAAGUGACCCUUUUUUGGGCCUGAUUGUCAAAUGAAAUUUUCUGCACAAUACUUGGAAAGCAUUUGCAGGUUUCUGCGUGAGGUGAAGAAAAAAGAACAUGAAAAUAUUGUGGAUUCAUGAGCUACAAGAAGAAUCAUGAAACUUUUGAAAAGUUAUCAGCCUCAUAGCUUGAGUGUGAAUGAAUUAGUUUUCACAGAAAUCAAUGAAUGGGCUGGAUUUUACAGCCAAGACAUAAUGGAGACAAAAAAGAGCAGGCAGUGAUUUACAGAAAUUUUGAAUCCUUCUUCUGGAGUGCUAUACAUUCAUAAGAUUAUGAUUUGGAUUAAGUUUAAUCUGAUACCUAAAUGUCCAAGCGCAUAGUUUACAUUUGAUUUAUACAGUAGUACAGUAAUGUUAACAAAACUGAAUUUUUGUAACAAAUUAUAUAUACUUGAGAUAGAGAAAAAACUGUUGACUCCUUUUAUCAUUAAGUUAAAAAAAUAAUAUGGCAGCAUAUCACUUGUAUGAACUUCUGAAUGAAGACAAUAUCUUGAUGUACAAAUUCUGUUUUUCAACCAAAGGAUCAUACUUAAGCAUAUUUAAAUAUGAUGCUCAGUAAAAAGAUCUUACAACAUUAUAAUUUGUAAUGUUUGAAAUGGACAUGAAAGUAGAAUGCAACAUUUGUAUCUACAUGAGUAACUAUCAUUUAUCUAUCUAAAAUUUAUUAAACAUUUGCGAAUGAGAGCAUGACAUUGGAGUCACACUGCUUUGGGUUUGAAAUCUGGAUCCCAUAUGUGUCAGGUAAAAACCUUGAAAAAGUUACUUAACCUGUCUGUUUAUCAGUUUCUUUAUAAGACACAGAUCAUAAUAAUAUGUACAUCAGAGGAUCAUGGUGAUUAUAAAAUAAAUUAACAUAAAUGAGUUAAUAAGGCCUAGGAUUUUAGAAGUGUAGUAUAAACAAAGUACCUAGUAUGCUACUUACAGUGAUUAUCAUUAUCUCUUAUAACUUUAAGUUAAAUUGGCCUUCUUGGUAAAUUUCAAACACAAUUAUAUCUGGGUCCACAUCAGGAAAUUUGAACAUACAGUUCAUCUGUUUGGAGCUCACUUCCCUCAUUUGUUUUCAUAGCUUCCUACCUCAGUGCAUUCAGGUUUCUUUUUCAAAACAUAUAAACAGAGAUGCCUUGUUAAACUACCCAAUCUAAAAUUGUCUUUUUUUAUUUAUUAUUUUUCUUCAUCUAUGUCACCAUUUGCUAUUGUUACUAAAUUUAUUUCUAGUUUACCGCCCACUAACAUAGAAGUUCCAUGAAAAGAGAGACGUGCCUAGUUGCCCCCAUUAUCUCAGUGUAAACAUUUUUUUUCCCUGAAACUGAAACAAUAAUCUUCCUUUUGUGGAGAUGCUGUUAAAGGGUACAUAGGGUAAUUCAUACUAAUAGGUUCUCUCAUUCUUGCAAACUGUUGUGGAAUAAUCAAUUUAAGGGCAACAACUGAGCUCUUCAUAAAUUGAGGAAAAUUGCCAUGCAUGAAGGUGUUUUUCCUAACCCCCACCUCUGAUUCUACAUAUUCUUUAAACAUAUCUCUCAAAAAUUUGGAGUUAACAUUGUAAAUAAUAUUUAUGUAUUUCUUUGGGUUUUGAAAUUUACUUAUGGAUCAUGUAGACCACUUAAAAAUAUUUUUAAAAAUCUUUAAAGCUAAAGUUGAACAUUUGUGACAACUAGGAAUAUUUGGAUACUUUGUGUUUCUCUCCCUCUUUUUAUGUCUCUCUAUCUCUCUCUGAUAAAAGUAUGUUUGUGGAUAAUUUAUUUUAAAACUAGACUUUUGGUUAUGCCAGAUUAAUAGUUCCAGAGAUCUCUUAUAAAGCACAUUUCUUGUAGUUAACAAUAUGGUGUUGUGCACUUCAAAAUUUGUUAAAUAAUAGAUUUCAUGUUAAGUAUUCUAAAAACACACACACAUACACACUCGGACACAAGGCAACUUUGGUUGAUAUUGAACACAUCCAUUACCUUGAUUGUGGUGAUGAUGGUAUUACGGGUGUUUGCAUAUGUCCAAACUCAUUAAAUUGUACACAUUGAACAUGUGAAGUUCUUUGCAUAUCAACUAUAUCUCAAUAAAGCUGUUAAAAUUAAAGCAAA